UACGUAGGUGGCAAGCGUUGUCCGGAAUUAUUGGGCGUAAAGCGCGCGCAGGCGGUCCUUUAAGUCUGAUGUGAAAGCCCACGGCUCAACCGUGGAGGGUCAUUGGAAACUGGGGGACUUGAGUGCAGGAGAGAAGAGUGGAAUUCCACGUGUAGCGGUGAAAUGCGUAGAGAUGUGGAGGAACACCAGUGGCGAAGGCGGGUCUCUGGACAGUUCCUGACGCUGAGACGCGAAAGCGUGGGGAGCAAACAGG
rnacentral:rRNA from 1 species